CUCUUCCAUUGUCACUACAAGGGUUUUGACUUGGAUGGUUUAGACGUCAUUGUUAGUGAUAGAGUUCAUGAUAUAGAUAUAGGUGCCCAGAUUUGGAUCAUAAUGCGGUGAUCGAUGGUUUGUAGCAUAAAAGUUUGCAACUCAGCAUGACCUUUAUGGUGAGUUUUCUGAAGUAGUAGCACGUUAGGUUUGGUCUAACCUUGCAAGCAAUCACAGAACUAGGAAUUAUUUUUAGGGGGGCCAGAAUAAAAUUUAAUAUGUAAUUGUACUUAAAUUUUUUUUUUUUU
rnacentral:misc_RNA from 1 species